GUGGUUUGAGUGGUAAGAACGUUGCCCUGGGAUGCGGGAAGUCCCGGGUUUGAACCCCGGUCGAGUCA